GUUCUUACUUCCACAGCAUACAUUCUAAAAAUGGAAUGAUACAGAGAAGAUUCGCAUGGCCC
rnacentral:snRNA from 1 species